UGAAUUUUCAGAUUAAGAAGAAACUUGGGCAUGGUGCUCGUGUUUCUAUGCAAAUUCUAAAAGAAGCCUUCAUAAUUGGCUUUACACCUCCGGCUCCUUGUCUCUAUUUAACAGGACCCUAGACAAAGAUCCUACGGAAGAUAAAGCGAUGUUUCAUAAUGCUUUGGAGACACUUUAAAGCAACAAAGUUCAUGUGUCCUUAUACAUACCCUCCUGCAGUAGCAGUCUUCUCUGUGUAUCCACAAGAACUAGAGCCGAGAUAUGUUCUUGGUUAAUGGUAA
rnacentral:lncRNA from 1 species